rnacentral:rRNA from 1 species
CCUACGGGUGGCAGCAGUGGGGAAUAUUGGACAAUGGGGGCAACCCUGAUCCAGCCAUGCCGCGUGUGUGAAGAAGGCCCUCGGGUUGUAAAGCACUUUCAGUGAGGAAGAACGCCUGGUGGUUAAUACCCAUCAGGAAAGACAUCACUCACAGAAGAAGCACCGGCUAACUCCGUGCCAGCAGCCGCGGUAAUACGGAGGGUGCGAGCGUUAAUCGGAAUUACUGGGCGUAAAGCGCGCGUAGGUGGCUUGAUAAGCCGGUUGUGAAAGCCCCGGGCUCAACCUGGGAACGGCAUCCGGAACUGUCAAGCUAGAGUGCAGGAGAGGAAGGUAGAAUUCCCGGUGUAGCGGUGAAAUGCGUAGAGAUCGGGAGGAAUACCAGUGGCGAAGGCGGCCUUCUGGACUGACACUGACACUGAGGUGCGAAAGCGUGGGUAGCAAACAGGAUUAGAUACCCUUGUAGCC